rnacentral:rRNA from 1 species
CAAGUCGAGCGAGAUCUUCGGGUCUAGCGGCGGACGGGUGAGUAACGCGUGGGAACGUGCCCUUUGCUACGGAAUAGUCCUGGGAAACUGGGGGUAAUACCGUAUACGCCCUUUUGGGGAAAGAUUUAUCGGCGAAGGAUCGGCCCGCGUUGGAUUAGGUAGUUGGUGGGGUAAUGGCCUACCAAGCCGACGAUCCAUAGCUGGUUUGAGAGGAUGAUCAGCCACACUGGGACUGAGACACGGCCCAG